GAUCGAGUAUGAGUCCUAGGACUAGGACGAAAGAGGUUCUAGGGAGAAGGUUUGUUUCUGCAACAGAGGAGCCGACUCGAAUCUGGGUGGAGUCGAUUCGGACUGGGUCGAGCUAGCUUAGGACCUUGAGAGAGCUAGUUUGGAUAUGGAACAGACAGCAGGUUUCACUGGCACACGCGGUGGCAUGGCAAUCGAGCCGACUUGAGGUCUGAUCGAG
rnacentral:lncRNA from 1 species